AGCGUUUAAACAGGGGUGUAUUCAUUUCGGCAAUUCUGUUGCAAAACUUUUCGUCUGUUACAACAGAAACAGUUUACUCCAAACUGAAAAUUAUUAUUUUUUACGAAAACGAGACUUUCUAUUGGACAGAUUCAGGGGAGGUGAUAGGCCUACUUCGCAAGACUCUUCCACAUUGUCUUGAAAAAGGAAGCGUGACUGACUGGUUGUGACAGCACACCACACUUGAUCCACAGGAGUCCGGCAGAGACGUGCCUGUGUGCUCGCCAAAGCUUCCAUCUGUUUGUGCGCGACUGGUGAGGAGUGUCCGUUAUUCACUAUCCUUAUGCUCUCCCCCCUUGCCAAUGGCCUGCCACCAUGCCAACUAUGGUGGUGAGAGCUAUAUUUACAAUCAGUUGUCAUGAUACUGGUUCAAUGAAAAGCAUGAGUAAAAUAUUGAUACCUUGUAGCCUAAGGUAAUUGUCGAAAUA